GAUGAAGAACGUAGCGAAAUGCGAUAAGUAGUGUGAAUUGCAGAAUUCAGUGAAUCAUCGAAUCUUUGAACGCACAUUGCGCCCUUUGGUAUUCCUUAGGGCAUGCCUGUUCGAGCGUCAUUUAAACCUUCAAGCUCAGCUUGGUGUUGGGUGACUGUCCGCUUCACCGCGGACUCGCCUCAAAAUUAUUGGCGGCCGGUACAUUGGCUUCGAGCGCAGCAGAAACGCGAACUCGGGCCCGUCGUAUUGGCUCCCAGAAGCUAUCUUCACAAUUUUGACCUCGGAUCAGGUAGGGAUACCCUCUGAACUUAAGCAUAUCAAUAAGCGGAGGA
rnacentral:misc_RNA from 1 species